AUGGCGUUCACGCCCUCCGCCGCCGUCCACUGCGCCGCGAGGACAUUCUCCCCCUCCGCGCCGCCCCGCGGGCCGGCGAAAUCUGCCUCCUUUGUCAGCGUUCCGGGGGGGCGGCGCCGGGUGGUGGCCGCGGCGCUGGGGGACAUGGACAUGCGCCCGGCCAUCGACGAGAACCCCGAGGGCGUGCUGUCCGGCGAGUGGCCCGGCAACUUCUCCCUCGCCAGCUACGACGACCUCCGCCAGUACCUCGAGUCCCAGAUCGUCUCCACCGACAAGAUGAGCCCCACGGCGAAGCUCGGGGAGGUGAUGUCGCGCCCGGUGGAGGUGGCCACGCCGGACCAGAAGCUGGCCGAGAUCGACGCCCUCUUCGCCACCCAGUCCGGCCUGCCCGUCGUCGACGGCGAGGGCAGGUGCAUCGGGGUCGUCUCCAAGAAGGACAAGGCCAGGGCCUCCAAUGGGUUGGACUCAACCAUUGGAGAAGUCAUGUCCUCUCCUGCUGUAACUCUGACUCUAGAGAAGACUGUCUUGGAAGCUGCUGCACUAAUGCUCAAGCACAAAGUUCACAGGAUACCAGUUGUGAAUGAACAACAGCAAGUGAUCGGUAUCGUAACGCGGACGGACGUCUUCCAGGCCUUGGAGGCCAGCAAGGCGUAA
rnacentral:rRNA from 1 species